ACAACAGGCCGAAAGCGGCGGAAGUGUGGGUUUAACCAGAACUAGAAGCAGGACAGGACCUGCGCAGUCGACUUCCUGGCAGACACCACGGCAAGCUCUCCGACCACCUGCUUGAGCUCGCAUCCAAAACCGCGCGGCACACCCCGGGCUGCAGCCGCCAGAAGCCUUCCUGCCUCCCACGCGGGGAACACCAGCGCCUCGCAGAGAGCCUGCGUUCGCCUCCGUGGAGGCCUGGCGCCUCCUGGUGGUCGUUCGGGGAACAGCGCCGCGCCGCCCAGGCUGGGCGCUCUGCUGUCUUGAGUCCACGUCUGGGAUCAACUCCUGCUGUGGAUGCGCGCCACGGGCCUACCCAAUCAGAGGACAUUAUUCAUCUGGCCACUGUGAUUGGUUCAGGGCUGGACACAUGACCCGAAGCUGGACCAAUCAGAGGAUUCACUAACUACCCUGGGCUGCUGAAACUGUCAAGGGCACGCUCCUUUCUCGGAACUGUCUUCGCCAUCGCACGGAGAGAGGCAAGCCCAUCCAGGGAGAAGCAGAGCAGGAGGGGAGUGAAAGAUUCUGGUGACCAGGUUCUGCCAGGGGUGGAAGACGGAAUUACUUUGGACAUUUUAUUUCAGUGCUUCAAGUCGUAAAUAGUCUCCCCAAGUUAAAAAAAAAAUUUUUUUUAA